GGGUUGCUGAACACCCAGAUACAGGCAUUUACUUAGAUGACCCUACACACAAAAGGUGCCAGGUUUUGACCUUAUAUCUGCACAAAUUUGGAAG